UUUACGACUCUCGGCAACGGAUAUCUUGGCUCUCGCAUCGAUGAAGAACGCAGAAUCCCGUGAACCAUCGAGUCUUUGAACGCAAGUUGCGCCCGAGGCUAUCCGGCCGAGGGCACGCCUGCCUG
rnacentral:rRNA from 1 species